UACAGAGGGGGGCUAGCGUUGUUCGGAAUCACUGGGCGUAAAGCGCACGCAGGCGGAUUGAUAAGUCAGGGGUGAAAUCCCGGAGCUCAACUUCGGAAUUGCCUUUGAUACUGUUAAUCUCGAGUCCGGGAGAGGUGAGUGGAAUUCCUAGUGUAGAGGUGAAAUUCGUAGAUAUUAGGAAGAACACCAGUGGCGAAGGCGGCUCACUGGCCCGGUACUGACGCUCAUGUGCGAAAGCGUGGGGAGCAAACAGG
rnacentral:rRNA from 1 species